UACGGAGGGUGCAAGCGUUGUCCGGAUUUAUUGGGUUUAAAGGGUGCGUAGGCGGCUCUUUAAGUCAGUGGUGAAAUACUGCAGCUCAACUGUAGCAUUGCCAUUGAUACUGAAGAGCUUGAGUACAGAUGAGGUAGGCGGAAUUUAUGGUGUAGCGGUGAAAUGCAUAGAUACCAUAAAGAACACCUAUUGCGAAGGCAGCUUACUAAGCUGUAACUGACGCUGAGGCACGAAAGCGUGGGGAGCGAACAGG
rnacentral:rRNA from 1 species